UCUCCGUUGGUGAACCAGCGGAGGGAUCAUUACAGGACUCGCAAGACUCCUUCACCCUGUGAACCUCACUACAAGCACGUUGCUUCGGCGGGUGUCCCGGCGGGGGUUUUCCCUCGCCGGGGCGCACAGCCCGCCGGCAGCCUACUAUACUCUGUCUCUUUGCGUUGGCAUCUCGAGAAAAAACAAACAUGUUAAAACUUUCAACAACGGAUCUCUUGGUUCUG
rnacentral:misc_RNA from 1 species